GACGAACGCUGGCGGCGUGCUUAACACAUGCAAGUCGAACGAGUGGCGAACGGGUGAGUAACACGUGAGUAACCUGCCCCUUCUUCUGGAUAACUGCUUGAAAGGGUAGCUAAUACGGGAUAGUGGGGGAUGGGCUCGCGGCCUAUCAGCUUGUUGGUGGGGUGAUGGCCUACCAAGGCGGUGACGGGUAGCCGGCCUGAGAGGGUGGACGGCCACACGUGGACUGAGACACGGCCCAGACUCCUACGGGAGGCAGCAGUGGGGAAUAUUGCACAAUGGGCGCAAGCCUGAUGCAGCGACGCCGCGUGAGGGAUGGAGGCCUUCGGGUUGUAAAGUACUUUCAGCGAGGAGGCGUUACUCGCAGAAGAAGCACCGGCUAACUCCGUGCCAGCAGCCGCGGUAAUAC
rnacentral:rRNA from 1 species